rnacentral:rRNA from 1 species
UACAGAGGGUGCGAGCGUUAAUCGGAAUUACUGGGCGUAAAGCGUGCGUAGACGGUAGCGUAAGUCAGAUGUGAAAGCCCCGGGCUCAACCUGGGAAUUGCAUUUGAGACUGCUCUGCUCGGGUGCGGAAGAGGGAAGCGGAAUUUCCGGUGUAGCGGUGAAAUGCGUAGAUAUCGGAAGGAACACCAGUGGCGAAAGCGGCUGCCUGGUCCGACACCGACGUUCAGGCACGAAAGCGUGGGGAGCAAACAGG